AGACAUUUAGUUUGUAUUUUAAGGCUAUGAAAGAGACAUAUGGGAGUAUUCCAAUUUCAAUCAUAGUUACUGAGGAUGAAAAAAGUCAAACAAUACAUCUCUAUGAGAAAAGUUCUGCGGCACAUUACAGAGUGUGGAGAUGCUGAAGGUCAGUGCUGCACACCCAGUGAGUGACUGCCACCGGAGGUGUGCCUGGCAGCAAUGUAAACACUUCCUUUUCUAUGAAAAGGCAGUAUUUACAUGAAAAUUUCUGUAGGCUAUAGACACCAAAACCACUAUAUUACGCUGUAGUUGUUCUGGUGACUAUAGUGUCCCAUUAACAAAAAUAAAGCCAAAACGGAGAUAAGCCAG